rnacentral:rRNA from 1 species
UACGUAGGGGGCAAGCGUUGUCCGGAAUCAUUGGGCGUAAAGCGCGUGUAGGCGGUUUGGUAAGUCCGCUGUGAAAGUCCAGGGCUCAACCCUGGAAUGCCGGUGGAUACUGCCAGACUAGAGUCCAGAAGAGGCGAGUGGAAUUCCUGGUGUAGCGGUGAAAUGCGCAGAUAUCAGGAGGAACACCUAUGGCGAAGGCAGCUCGCUGGGACGGUACUGACGCUGAGACGCGAAAGCGUGGGGAGCAAACAGG